rnacentral:misc_RNA from 1 species
GAUGAAGAACGUAGCGAAAUGCGUUAAGUAAUGUGAAUUGCAGAAUUCAGUGAAUCAUCGAAUCUUUGAACGCACAUUGCGCCCUCUGGUAUUCCGGGGGGCAUGCCUGUUCGAGCGUCAUUAUAACCACUCAAGCUCUCGCUUGGUAUUGGGGUUCGCGGUUCCGCGGCCCCUAAAAUCAGUGGCGGUGCCUGUCGGCUCUACGCGUAGUAAUACUCCUCGCGAUUGAGUCCGGUAGGUCUACUUGCCAGCAACCCCCAAUUUUUACAGGUUGACCUCGGAUCAGGUAGGGAUACCCGCUGAACUUAAGCAUAUCAAUAAGCGGAGGA